UGUAUGUACACAGCAAAAUCACCAGUGUUAAAUUUUCAGGGAUGGUGUUAAAUACACAGUGUUGAUGCUGUUUUAACACUAUCUGGUAAUAAAAUAACACUGCCAUUGCUAGGCCAGUGUUAUAUUCACGACAGUGUCAGUGUAAAACAAGGGUGUUAUCAGAUUUCACUCUGAGCGGUGUAAAUCAAGCCACGCCUCCACUAAACAUAUCCUGUCAGGGAUUUUACCGCCAUUUUCUUUCACAGGAGGACUGAAGAGAUCAGGUAAAUCAGUCUCAUAAUAUUCACAUGGUUUAGCUAAAUUAAACUGUUAUUUCUCUGUCUGACUCUACGCAGCCAUAUGCCAAAAAACCCAAAUAAGAUAUUUUUCCCAUUUUAUUUCCCCUUUGUUCGUUAUUUGGUUCAGUUUAAUCAGAGCUACCUUGUGUUACGUCGUUCCCUUGUUAGUUUAGUAUAAAGUAAAACUGCUAGAUAAAAGUUUAAAACCAAGAAGGAUAAUAUUAACAGGAGAUAUGAACGAAAGAAUUGAACCAUGAUAAAACGCGACAUGCACUACAAAUUGAAGGUAUGAAAUUAAGUUAAAUGAAAGCUCGUUUAUUCACCAUAUGAUGCUCGUUAUGAGGUAAUCAUAUAGGCUAGAUACCGUGAGUUAACGAGGUCGUUUACAUGCACGUGAGUGCACGGAUAUCGGUUAAUUAUUCAAAUUACUGAAAAACACGGAGAAAACCGCAACCGCAUCGUCAUGUGUUUUUCUAAGAUGUAUGCAAACAGGGGAAAUAUCGCCAAACCAACAAUUAAUUUGACCAAAACCUCACAAUAUAUCAUCAUUUGUAUGCACAGAUUGGAUGCAUUGUGUGUUGUAAGCUUUUCGUGGCGCUAGAUGUCAGACAGAUGCAAAUGGCAAAUACAUACAAAAGUGUAAAACGUGUAAGGCUAACGUGAACGGUUUUUUUUUCUGUCAUUAUAGAUGCUAGUUUGGUGAAAGUUCACACUGAGUGCUUCAAAUCAUUCAGAAGAGAUGCUGUUUUAGGGCAGUUUAUUAAAGAAGACCUGACAUGGAUGACUUCCAAUGAGAAACAACUGCUAAUACUUAAAUAAAUUCAUUACAGAAGGACCCUACCAGACUAUAUUUGAAUACGGCAUACCCAUGAAUUCUGGAACUGUUAUUCCUUAACCCAGUUUGGAGGAUAAGAGCUUACCAACUAGUUAUAAAUAUGCUGAGGUGAUGUAUUGCAAAAUAGCCAACAUACAACAAUAUGGAUGACCCUCUGUCUGGUCAACAGGAGUUUAAAUAUGGUAAGUGUACAUGGGUUUGCUACUUUUACGGUUUUAAAGUUUAACUGUAUACUCAUGGUGUUUAAAUUCUGUUUUGCUAUGACGGGACAGUUAUGUGGCAGCUCUUCUCUGGCUCAUUCACCUCUUGCCUUCAUUUGUGAAAGGAAGAAAGAAGAAAGAGGGUCAAUGUGCAACUGAAGCUACUGAUUGUGCGGUGUGAUGAGCAUCAAUCCAUGCUUUGAGGUGGAUGAAUCAGCACAGCCCUGCCUGCACUGCGUUGGGAACAGAAGUUGCAUCCAGAAUUUUUGCAUCAUUCUGGACCAAAAAGCCAUUCCCUCCAUGAUGAAGACCACUGAUGCAGCCUUCCACUACAUCAUGAGUAAAACAACUACAGAACUAAAUACCAGGUUGGAACGUAUUUAAGAAAAAUGAAACUUCUUUUGAAUUGAAAUGUCUGUUUUGUUAUGGAAAAAUCUUUAGUAUUGUGAAGGAUAAGCAUUUCUGCCUGCCAGUAAGGUAAUUGCAGUGUAUUUUAAUGUUCAAGUUUUGAGU